rnacentral:lncRNA from 1 species
GCCAGUCUUUAUUAACUAUUUGCAUUGAAAUGACCAGUCACCAAGUGGUUGACAUGCAUUUUCCACACAGUUAGAUCCAGUGCAAUUAUUUUCUCUGGAGUAAAGUAAAACAAGUGAUGUGGAAAACAUUUCAUAGGAAUUUUCUACAAUGGCGCUUUUAUUUUUACUGCAGGGAUCUGUGCAAGAAGCGGUCAAGGUGCAAUCGCAUGGAAAUAUUUUUGGGAGCUGCACGUAUUCCUUGGAGGACUUCUCCAAAAAAUAAAUGCCUUCUGGGCCAUUCCGCUUU